rnacentral:snRNA from 1 species
UCAUAAUAUAAACUGUUAGG